ACCGGUUUCUGCUCAAGUGACGUGAAUCAGCGUUUGCACACAGAUACUGCAGAAAGCCUAGGCUGUAUUUUAGGGUAUGACCACACAAUCGGGUAGUGUCGCUAUCUGAAGAAGAUCUCUGGAAAUCUCGAAGGCCUUUGUAGCAUGUGAAACGACACAUUUCUCGUCCUCCCGUUUUGCCGCAUUCUCCGGGUUUUGUGAGGACUUUCGCUGUAAUUCAGUUAUUUGUGCUACUAGAAUUCAGUUCGUGGGAGAUCCUACCGAUGUACGCCUCGCCGUAAUGGAAGAAUCGAGACCCAAAGACGGCGGAGUCAGCUGCUGGCACUGGGGACAGUCAUACAAGGGAGACUAAUGCAAAUGUGGAAUGGCACACUUGCACAUUAAAUGGUUGCAUUGGAGUUCAACUGGGAUGUUGACAACUUUUCACACAGGGUGCACUUGAACAAGUCAAACAGAUCAGUCAAUUUGAUUGCUGACUGACCUGUGAGAACAACCUGAUUCUUUUUCAAUUUUUGGGUGGUCUUCCUUAUUUCUUCUGUUGCUGACAACUGCAGCAGGUGUUGCAGUUUUCUGAGUGUACUAUCCACUCUCUGCAGAAAGGUACAAGAAUAGAGGCUCCUUGCCUCUUUGUAAAUCAAUGCAUCACUAGAUGGCAGCGGACACAGAAAUUGACAUUUGUACUGACGUCCUCUUGAUUGAACCUGGGGGCACAUAACCUGCGAAGCUCUCGUACGGAAAGGAUGUGAUGUGCCAUAUCCAUAGACUAGACUGACAACACUUGUAUACUGGUUAACUGUUUUUGUAUACAUCUUAUGUAGUGUAUGGAGUAAGGAAAGGGCAUGAGAGAGUGAUGAGGUAAAGAACUGCUACACGUGUACCAUUCAAAUUCAAGGAACCAGUGUUGGUACACCAUUAGCAAGUUUUUGUGGCAAAGUUUAUUUUACCAUAGAUAUGAUUUUACUUACAUUUCAAGUUGCUAAGAAUAAUUUCUCUAGGCACGUGACCUAGCCAGCUUGUCAUAUUUUAGUGCUACUUUAGUAUAAAAUGACCAUGCUUCCGUUCUCGUGUCACCAUAACUUAUUUGUCCGCGUUCCCUGUCUCUGACGUUGAUUAGGUCGUCGCUCGUACCAACCUGCAGUCGAUCCUUGCAAAUUAAGUUCUCCAGGA